GUUGCGCUGUUGCUAUGGGGUUGCGCUGUCGCUAUGGGGUAUUGUGUGUGUGUGAAUACAUUGUAUAUUUGUCUCAGGGCCAGAUUCAUGGCUCAGAUCCUUGUUAUGGGGUUGGUUGUGUUGUGGUUGAAUAUAACAGGGUUGUGUUGUGGUUGAAUAUAACAGGGUUGGUUGUGUUGUGGUUGACUAUAACAGGGUUGUGUUGUGGUUGAAUAUAACAGGGUUGUGUUGUGGUUGAAUAUAACAGGGUUGGUUGUGUUGUGGUUGAAUAUAACAGGGUUGUGUUGUGGUUGAAUAUAACAGGGUUGUGUUGUGGUUGACUAUAACAGGGUUGGUUGUGUUGUGGUUGAAUAUAACAGGGUUGUGUUGUGGUUGAAUAUAACAGGGUUGUGUUGUGGUUGAAUAUAACAGGGUUGUGUUGUGGUUGAAUAUAACAGGGUUGUGUUGUGGUUGAAUAUAACAGGGUUGUGUUGUGGUUGAAUAUAACAGGGUUGUGUUGUGGUUGAAUAUAACAGGGUUGUGUUGUGGUUGAAUAUAACAGGGUUGUGUUGUGGUU